GUACUCUACCUUCUCUUUAUCUCAUACAAAUUUUUCGCCUUUUACCAAAGAUUUCAGUAGAGAAGGCCCUUUCUCACUAUCAACCCAAGCAAUUUUAACCUUUACUUUGGCUACAGCAGAAAG